GGGCUCGGGGUUCGCUCCAACCCACUGUGACAUACCCAUCGUUGCUUCGGCGGGACCGCCCCGGCGCCUCUGCGCGCCGGACUCUGGCGCCCGCCGGGGGCCCGAAACUCUUGCCUCUUCGCGCGGAUUCUCUGAGUGGCACGAAAAAACAAUGAAUCAAAACUUUCAACAACGGAUCUCUUGGUUCUGGCAUCGAUGAAGAACGCAGCGAAAUGCGAUAAGUAAUGUGAAUUGCAGAAUUCAGUGAAUCAUCGAAUCUUUGAACGCACAUUGCGCCCGCCGGUAUUCUGGCGGGCAUGCCUGUUCGAGCGUCAUUUCAACCCCUCAUGCCCCUCUCGGGCGUGGCGUUGGGGACCGGCCCCGCCACAGCGGCGGCCGCCCCCGAAAUCCAGUGGCGGCCACGCCGCGGCUCCCUCUGCGCAGUAGCAAUCGCCUCGCAGCCUGGGACGCGGCGCGGCCACGCCUCGACUCAAAAUCAUCUCGUGGUUGACCUCGGAUCAGGUAGGAAUACCCGCUGAACUUAAGCAUAUCAAAAGAAGGAGGAA
rnacentral:rRNA from 1 species